AGCGAACGCUGGCGGCAGGCUUAACACAUGCAAGUCGAGCGGGCGUAGCAAUACGUCAGCGGCAGACGGGUGAGUAACGCGUGGGAACGUACCUUUUGGUUCGGAACAACACAGGGAAACUUGUGCUAAUACCGGAUAAGCCCUUACGGGGAAAGAUUUAUCGCCGAAAGAUCGGCCCGCGUCUGAUUAGCUAGUUGGUGAGGUAAUGGCUCACCAAGGCGACGAUCAGUAGCNGGUCUGAGAGGAUGAUCAGCCACAUUGGGACUGAGACACGGCCCAAACUCCUACGGGAGGCAGCAGUGGGGAAUAUUGGACAAUGGGCGCAAGCCUGAUCCAGCCAUGCCGCGUGAGUGAUGAAGGCCCUAGGGUUGUAAAGCUCUUUUGUGCGGGAAGAUAAUGACGGUACCGCAAGAAUAAGCCCCGGCUAACUUCGUGCCAGCAGCCGCGGU
rnacentral:rRNA from 1 species